rnacentral:rRNA from 1 species
AGAGUUUGAUCAUGGCUCAGAUUGAACGCUGGCGGCAUGCUUUACACAUGCAAGUCGAACGCGGUCGGGGGGCAACUCCUGACUGAGUGGCGAACGGGUGAGUAAUACAUCGGAACGUACCCCGUUGUGGGGGAUAACCCACCGAAAGGUGGGCUAAUACCGCAUACGCCCCGAGGGGGAAAGCGGGGGACCUGAGAGGGCCUCGCGCGAUGGGAGCGGCCGAUGUCGGAUUAGCUAGUAGGUUGGGUAAAGGCUGACCUAGGCGACGAUCCGUAGCUGGUCUGAGAGGAUGAUCAGCCACACUGGGACUGAGACACGGCCCAGACUCCUACGGGAGGCAGCAGUGGGGAAUUUUGGACAAUGGGGGCAACCCUGAUCCAGCCAUGCCGCGUGAGUGAAGAAGGCCUUCGGGUUGUAAAGCUCUUUCGGCCGGAACGAAAUCGCAUCUCCUAAUACGGGGUGUGGAUGACGGUACCGGAAGAAGAAGCACCGGCUAACUACGUGCCAGCAGCCGCGGUAAUACGUAGGGUGCGAGCGUUAAUCGGAAUUACUGGGCAAAGCGUGCGCAGGCGGCUCUUCAAGUCAGAUGUGAAAGCCCCGGGCUUAACCUGGGAACUGCGUUUGAAACUGGAGGGCUAGAGUGUGGCAGAGGGAGGUGGAAUUCCACGUGUAGCAGUGAAAUGCGUAGAGAUGUGGAGGAACACCGAUGGCGAAGGCAGCCUCCUGGGCCAACACUGACGCUCAGGCACGAAAGCGUGGGGAGCAAACAGGAUUAGAUACCCUAGUAGUCC